UUGUCCUCUAGAGUUCCCUUGACCACUUCACUGGAGGUUUCUUGGACCUUUAGCUGGGAAAUUGGAUCCUCAUUCACUGAAGUGUUUGGGGGAACUCUGGCGGCCAU
rfam:Corchorus olitorius cultivar O-4 contig21113, whole genome shotgun sequence.